GGCCUUGGGCUAACGUAGACACUCUCGCAGUACCUCCGCCUUCAGGAAGGUCUUUUUAGCAGGGGCCUUACAGGUGCACGCUUCGGUCCUGGAGGCCUUAUCCUAACCUCUCCAUCAGCGCCACCCGUCUGGGGCCCGAAAGGAGGGAGCUUUCCCUCUGUCCUCCAGCCUUUGGACUGUCUCCAAACAAGCCAUUCGUUCACCAAAUACUUAUUAAGCACCUACCAUGUGCCUGACAAGGGAGAUGUAACGAUAGGGUCUCUCUCUCUGCCACCCAGGCCAGAGUGCAGUUGACGCAGGGCAGGGGAGCCCCGAAGUGGAGCAUAGUGUGUCCGGAACUGGUGGGUUCUUGGUCUCACUGACUUCAAGAAUGAAGCCGUGGACCCUCACGAGACAGGGUUUCACCAUGUUGGCCAGGCUUGUCUUGAACUCCUGACGUCGUGAUCUGCCUGCUUUGGCCUCCCAAAGUCCUGGGAUUACAGGCAUGAGCCACCGUACCCAGCCACUCUUGAUUAACUUAAUGGAAAUAUUUACAGAGAUUCUUUCUCUUCUGGGUUCUAGCGUCUUAUCUGUAACCUCUGCAGGGGAGUCACUGAGCAGAACGAAGCGAGUUGCCUGAGAUUCUUCAAAGCCCCAGCCCUUUUGGAGGUUACAUUGUUAUUCUCAGAGCCUUUAUGAUGCAUAAUAAAGACCUAGCUUGUACCA
ensembl:lncRNA LINC02018 long intergenic non-protein coding RNA 2018